rnacentral:lncRNA from 1 species
AUUUUUAUUAAAUUAUUAAAUAAUCUAUUUCAUCGAUUUCCCUAAUAAUUGAGUGAUAUGAUACCAAAAAUUUGUUAUAAAAGGAUUUGUUCAUUAAGUUUAGCCCUAAAUAAAUCUAACUUAUAUAUACAACUGCUCCAUACUCGUAAACAUUAUUCUUUUGGAUAAAUUGCAAGACUGAAAAAUUAUUUUGUUUUGUGUUAUUGUUCUUCUAACACCAAAAUUUAACAAAUCAUUUUUUUCUUCUUACAAUCUAUCUCACAUAAUGGUGUGUUGUUG